rnacentral:rRNA from 1 species
GCCAGACUCCUACGGGAGGCAGCAGUGGGGGAUAUUGCACAAUGGGGGAAACCCUGAUGCAGCGACGCCGCGUGAGUGAAGAAGUAUUUCGGUAUGUAAAGCUCUCUCAGCAGGGAAGAAAAAAGACGGUACCUGACUAAGAAGCCCCGGCUAACUACGUGCCAGCAGCCGCGGUAAUACGUAGGGGGCAAGCGUUAUCCGGAUUUACUGGGUGUAAAGGGAGCGUAGACGGCAAUACAAGUCGGAAGUGAAAUACCCGGGCUCAACCUGGGAACUGCUUUGGAAACUGUAUGGCUGGAGUGCUGGAGAGGUAAGCGGAAUUCCUAGUGUAGCGGUGAAAUGCGUAGAUAUUAGGAGGAACACCAGUGGCGAAGGCGGCUUACUGGACAGUAACUGACGUUGAGGCUCGAAAGCGUGGGGAGCAAACAGGAUUAGAUACCCCGGUA